rnacentral:SRP_RNA from 1 species
UAUCAGUCCCCUCGCGACGAUUAGUUGUGAACUCCGUCAGGCCCGGAAGGGAGCAGCGGUAGCAAUGAUAUCGGGCGCCGGGGUGUGGCGGGUAGAG